GAUGAACGCUGGCGGCAUGCCUAAUACAUGAAAGUCGAGCGAACAGACGAGGAGCUUGCUCCUCUGACGUUAGCGGCGGACGGGUGAGUAACACGUGGAUAACCUACCUAUAAGACUGGGAUAACUUCGGGAAACCGGAGCUAAUACCGGAUAAUAUAUUGAACCGCAUGGUUCAAUAGUGAAAUACGGUUUUGCUGUCACUUAUAGAUGGAUCCGCGCCGCAUUAGCUAGUUGGUAAUGUAACGGCUUACCAAGGCAACGAUGCGUAGCCGACCUGAGAGGGUGAUCGGCCACGCUGGAACUGAGACACGGUCCAGACUCCUACGGGAGGCAGCAGUAGGGAAUCUGCCGCAAUGGGCGGAAGCCUGACGGAGCAACGCCGCGUGAGUGAUGAAAGUCUUCGGAUCGUAAAACUCUGUUAUUAGGGAAGAACAAAUGUGUAAGUAACUAUGCACGUCUUGACGGUACCUAAUCAGAAAGCCACGGCUAACUCCGUG
rnacentral:rRNA from 1 species